GCAUGUUGGCUAGUUCAGUUAGUAGAGCAUGAGACUCUCAAUCUUGGGGUUGUAAGUUCAAGCCCCAUGUUGGGCG